rnacentral:tRNA from 1 species
GGAAGGGUGGCAGAGCGGUUUAAUGCACUUGUCUUGAAAACAAGCGAUGGGAAACCAUCCGCGGGUUCGAAUCCCGCCCCUUCCGCCA